rnacentral:piRNA from 1 species
UUCACAUAGGCUGAGUAGAUGAGGU